GACGAACGCUGGCGGCGUGCUUAACACAUGCAAGUCGAACGGAAAGGCCCUGCUUUUGUGGGGUGCUCGAGUGGCGAACGGGUGAGUAACACGUGAGUAACCUGCCUUUGCCUUUGGGUUAACUUCGGGAAACUGGGGCUAAUACCGGAUAGGAGCUCCGGCUGCAUGGUGGGGGUUGGAAAGUUUCGGCGGUUGGGGAUGGACUCGCGGCUUAUCAGCUUGUUGGUGGGGUAGUGGCUUACCAAGGCUUUGACGGGUAGCCGGCCUGAGAGGGUGACCGGCCACAUUGGGACUGAGAUACGGCCCAGACUCCUACGGGAGGCAGCAGUGGGGAAUAUUGCACAAUGGGCGGAAGCCUGAUGCAGCAACGCCGCGUGCGGGAUGACGGCCUUCGGGUUGUAAACCGCUUUCGCCUGUGACGAAGCGUGAGUGACGGUAAUGGGUAAAGAAGCACCGGCUAACUACGUG
rnacentral:rRNA from 1 species